CGGGAUGUAGCGCAGUUUGGCAGCGCGCAGCGUUCGGGACGCUGAGGCCCCGGGUUCAAAUCCCGGCAUCCCGA
rnacentral:tRNA from 1 species